GACGAAGGGGGCUAGCGUUGUUCGGAAUUACUGGGCGUAAAGCGCGUGUAGGCGGUUGCCCAAGUCGGGUGUGAAAGCCUUGAGCUCAACUCAAGAAAUGCACUCGGUACUGGGUGACUAGAGGACCGGAGAGGAUAGUGGAAUUCCCAGUGUAGUGGUGAAAUACGUAGAGAUUGGGAAGAACACCAGUGGCGAAGGCGACUUACUGGACACAUAUUGACGCUGAGGUGCGAAAGCGUGGGGAGCAAACAGG
rnacentral:rRNA from 1 species